GGAACACUGCAUGUCUAAGUACAAGCCUGAUAUAAGGUGAAACCGCGAAUGGCUCAUUAAAUCACACCUAAUGUACCGGAUAGUUCCUGUUACUUGGAUAACUGCGGUAAUUCUGGAGCUAAUACAUGCUUAAAAGCCUCAACUUAAGGAGGGGCGCUUUUAUUAGACCAAAACCAAACCGCUCGACCGUUACUCGGGGGAUCCGGAUAACUUUUUGGUGAAUCGAUGGGAUUACGUCGACAACUAUCCCAUCAAGGGGGGGCCUAUUCACUGGCACUGGGGAUUAACCCCCGGGGUUUUGACGGUAACCGGGAAUUAAGGGUCCUUUCCGAAAGGACGGAAACCGUUCCCCUUUCUAGGAGGGACAGGGACCCCAAUUACCCCAUGGCCAAAACCAAGGAGCAAAAAUUACCAAUCCGACCUCCAGGCCGGAAUCGAAUGAUUUAAUCUUUUACAAGAACCAUUGAGGAAGUCUGGGGGCCCACCGAAUUCGCUCCAUAGCGUAUAUAAUGGUCGAAAGCUCGUAGUGAUCUCGGGCUAGGGGGUCGUAUCUGACGGACUGCCCCAUUGUUUUAUGCAAGAGGUGGUGCCUGGUCUCGCUGCAUUUUACUUAAAAUAUGCUCAAGCAGGCUCACUAUUGCAUAAGGAAGUCUUCUAUUUUGUGGUUGAGACUUAGAUUACAUAUAUCACGACAGACUGCGUUAGCUACUACUGCA
rnacentral:rRNA from 1 species